UUUGCAGCCUGCCCCUUGGCCUACCAGCUGGUGGAUCUGUACCACUGGCUGGUGAACAAAUGUUCCAUCUCUUGCUUUAAGAUCGACUCAGUGAUUUAUUGCAAUCUCGCCAUAACACUAGUAAGUAUAAACUACCAUCUUGUGGAUUUGAUUUUCAUUUCCCUGAUGUCUGAUAAUUCCUUAUUUUCUUCCUUGUGUGGUUAUACCAUUAACAUACAAGGUGGAUCUUAUAAUCUUUUGCCCUCAGGGGAGCUCAUUGACAGACCUGUUAAAGUAGUGAUUAGAAUACAUCACUAGUUCAAUUGUAUAAAUAAAAACAGGGAAAUCCAGCAGGAGAAAAGCGGAAGAGGCUCAUUCUAACUGGGAAGCGAAAGACUUUAAAGAGGGCUGAAUCCCAGGGAUAGCUUGGAGGGGUGGAGUAGAUGCUUUGUGAAGGCAGAAAAGCUUCAAAGAGCUUACAUGAGCAAUGAGAUCCAUCUUCUCUCCUCUAUGUUCACUAUUCUUGCUACACUGUUUGUAAGUCACUUAUGAAAGUGAGUCUUUUUUCCUGUACCACCAGUUUUCAUUUUUUUUUCUAAGAAUACAGGAGGUCAGUGAAGGACUGGCAGAGACUUCAAAUUUUCUGUGGUCGAGUUGGCACGUCCAUAAGUGACAGCAUAAUAAAACAAAACAUUGAGUGCCAUAAUGCCUCUAAUGUCUUACACUAUAUGUCAAGUUGUUCCCGUUGGGGGUAUAAUUACAUAAUGAUCCUCUAGAUUUAUUUUGCUGGCAUCUGACCAUAAUGAAGUUUAUCUUAGCCCAUUUUCAUUUCCUUAAUCAGCUUCCAAAUUUUUGUUAGGUAAGUCACAAGUUAACUGGCAUGUCUACAAGAAGAAGAGUAGGGUAGAUUUGUUCCAAGUCUGCUUAUGACCGGCUUGGCUGGGGGAUAUCUUUAUCUGGUCAGGUGCAAUCUUGUCUAUCUUUCUCAAGGGAUCUGUCCAGGAGCCAGGUCUGGACCACUCAGUCCUGAGUUCAUUUUGUCACCAUCCCAGUUGCCUAGGGGUGACAUGAAGAGAUCUGAUUCCUGGUCUGGUUUCUGAGCCUUGCUCCUGGGACCAGCUAUAGGCAUGUUUCCAGUUUCUGGUGGUUCUCUGCUCAGUUUAAAGCAGGUAUUAUUGGGAUGGUUGUCAAUUCUCAGUUCCUCUGGCUCUGCUGGCCCCUUCAACCACCAAAAUCUCUUCAUUUAUUCCACAAAUUCGUUUUCAAGUUCUUCUAGGAUGGUAUCUGCUAAUUCCUAAUGCAGACACUAUCCUCAACCAGAAGGAUGUGGAAUCUCUUUUAUACCUUAGGUUCGUCGUAACCCCAGACUUUAUAAAUGCUUUGAUAAGAUUGUUCCAUUCAAAUAUAUCUUCACUGGAGGUGACCCCCAAAAGCUCAUAAACCAGUAAUUAAAAUGGAAUGGGGCCGGGAGCUAGAAGUGUUUGGGGACAGGAGACUUAAUGAUUUACUUCUCUGUACUGUGAUUUUUGUUGUUGUUGUUAUUUCUUUACUAAGUGUGUGUGUGUGUGUGUGAAAAUGAAAAAAAAUCGUUUCACUCUGAAUGCUUAGCCUUUCCUUCAGAUCAGGUUGACAUAGACUCUGGGUGACUUUUAUCAAGGUCAGCAGCACUUGCCCUGUUCUAAGUUCUUUUCCCUGCAGAUGUCAGAGGGGAAAAAGUACCGAGGAGGACAUCCCCUUACUGGAAUUACAAACACUGAGUGUUUCCAUGUCUUGGUUAUUGUGAGUAAUACUGCAAUAAAGAGUACAGGUAUCUCAGACUGGGGCUGGGGCUCAGCAGUAGAGCGCUCACCUAGCACGGACGAUGUGCUGGGUUGAUCUUCAGCACCACAUAAAAAUAAAUAAAUAAAAUAAAGGUAUUGUGUCCAACUACAACUAAAAAAAAAGUAUUAAAAAAAAAAAGAAUACAGGUAUCUCUUAUGGAUUCUUCCUUCCUUUCUCUCCCUUUCCCUUCCCCCCUCCCCUUUUGAAAGUACUGGGCUUUAACCCAGGGGUGCUCUACCACUGAGCUACAUCUUCGGCCUUUUUUUACUUCUUCUUUUGAGAUGGGAUGUCGCUAAGUUGCCCAGGCUGCCCUGAAACUCCUGAUCCCCUGGUCUCAGCCUCCCAAAUCACUAGGAUUACAGGCGAGUGCCACGAUGCUCAGCUCAAUACUUACUUCAUUUCUUUUGGAUUUAUACGCAGAAGUGAGGUUGCUUGGUCAUAUGGUAGUACUAUUUUAAAUUUUUUGAGGAACUACCAGAUUCUUUGCUGCCAGAGUGUUUGCAGCAAUUUGAAUUUUCUAUCAACAUUAUAUACAAAGGUCCCCUUUUCUCCAUGGAGAUCAUUCAAUUUUUAAAAUAUCAAUUUUGAAAAAGUAAAACUGUAUGUUUUAUUAAAUAAAAAUAUUUCAAGAAAUGUCUGAUAUUUCAAGUAAUGUCCCCAGGACAUUUGAAAGCCUUUGGUUUCCUCUGCACGACCUGAGCUUCUAGAUCUGCACCACAAGGGGGUGCCAUUGGAUUUUGAAUGAGUCACAUCACCAGCAUUUGGGUUUCCUUUGCCAAGAGAAGACACCACCUCUCUUAAUCAGCGGGGGAAGGCUGGGGGUGGGGGCACGAAAAGAUACAGCUGUGAGAUUGAGAGGGUCGUGGGAGACUGCCUUUUAUUUUCCUAAAUCUGAAAGAAGGUUAGGGGAAGGUGAGACCAAGAAAUCCUUGUUGUAAUCAUUACAUUUCUAAAACCAGAAAAAAGUAUUCAGUGCUUGAUUCUUGGGGCCUAAGUCUCUUUUCAUAAUCAGAGUGGAAGAGGAAGGAAGUGGAGUGGAAGGAAGUUUAGAAGUCAGCUUUCUUGGCUCACCCUCUCCUCAAAGAAUCUCACAAAAAACCCAGGAAAUUGCAUGAAAAAAAAAAUCUUUUUUUUUUUUUUUUGGCUAAAUUUUGAAUAUAAUUCCUGGAGACUUUCAGACCCAGGUUAAAGACCCUUUGUUGAUUGAAUUCAAUGAGCCUAUUUUACCCAGGAAACACAAUUCAGAGAAAGCUUGAGUAGGGAUAACUCAAACCCAUGGCUUCACUCCUGCUCUGGGGCUCUUUCUAACAAAACUGGACUCUCAGCUGCAUUUGGACUUUUCUCACAUCUGCAACCAGUAAGGAGCCAGCUGCCCCAAAUCAUCUGGAAAAGCUGAGUGAUGCCUGUCGGGGAAGGACCUCUGAACUGAACUCUGGUGUUCCACAGAACAGUGAGGAGGUAGCAGGUGCGUCCCCAACCCCUCUCCUCACAGAGUCAGAUUUAUCUAUGUAUUUAAAACUAGCUGUGGACUUUAAAAACCAGUAGCUAGUUAACAAAAAAGCUGCUGUUUCUUGAUGCUUCUUCUGGGGCCACAACCAUUACUCCAUUUGUCCUCACGAUGGCCCUAGGUAGCUUAGCAGGUGUGCUUUGCUUUGUACCCAGUGCUCAGCUGCUGAGAAUUCUGGCCAUAAUGUCUCACAGAUUCCCACCCCCAGAAUUGCUCUUGGGAUGGAACCAUCUACAGUGCAGUGGUGGGAUUUAUGUUUCAGAGCGCUCCUGGGAGAGACCAAGACUAGACUUUACCUGAAACCCAGCGGUGCUGGCCUCUUUCCCUUCCCUGUUGGGUUUUUCUCAUAGGCUUCUCCUGAAGAACGUGCCUUGAGUAAGUAUUUCUAGAUUAUGUCCCUGUUUUAUCCACUCAAUAUUGUGUUACAGUGAUUUUCUUUUAGUUUCAUCUGUGUAAAUACAGUUAGGAAAAGAACUACAAGAAUCUAAUUUCUGAAAGUAGCUUUCUUUUUAGCCUAAUGUAUUAAAUAGGGGGAUAGUCAUUUGCAUUUUUAAAAAAAAAACUUUUUGUAGUUGUAGAUGGACAGAAUGCCUUUAUUUUAUUUGUUUAUUUUUAUUUUAUUUUAUUUUUUUAAAAUGUUUAUUUUUUAAUUUUUUUAGGUGGACACAAUAUCUUUAUUUUAUUGUUAUGUGAUGCUGAGAAUCGAACCCAGUGCCUCACGCAUGCUAGGCAAGUACUCUGCCACUGAGCUGCAGACCCAGCCCCAGUCAUUUACAUUUUUAUUAUUAUAAAUUAUAAAUAAGAAUAUAUUUAUGUAUAUUUAUGUAUUUUUUCCUGCAUUUCAGGGUUUUUUUCUUCUUUUUUUGAGAAGUCCAAGAAAUGGAGUACCUGGGUCACAGGUUCUAGUAAACAUUGCAAAUUUACUUUCAAAACAACUUUACCAAUUUAUGCUCCUAACCACAGAGCCAAUUUUGCAAUUUUGAGUCCUCCUGCCAGUAAUGAGAAUUAUUGAAAAUCGAAAAAAAAAAACAAAACCCAAGCCCCCUAAAUUCGAAGUGAGACAAGCUGCUCCAUUACUUUAUUUUGAUUUAUAGUAAAGAUGAUUUUUUUCCAUAUAUUUAUAAGUCAUUUGUGUUUCCCAUUUGGGGAGUUUCCUGUUUAUUUAGGACUUUAAUAAUAAAUUUGCUCAAAUUUUUAUGUCCAAUCUGGAAAAAUAUUAUCCUGGUUGUGGACUUGGUUACUAAGCCCUUAAUUUAGAGUUAUUUAUCCUGUCAUUUCUCCAGAACAUCUUCUACCUGCUCCUUGGCAGAGUGUAUGGGGGAAGAUCUGAGUCUGAGGAAGUUCUGUUAGUAAUUAACAUGACCAGAUUUACCUCCCUUGCCAGGGACAAGGUGGAACACCUCAAAGAGAGGAUUUCUAAACAUACAGUGCAAUGAGAUAAUUUAACAAAAUAUUUUAAAUGGACUGGAGGCAGAAAGGAAAACAACCUAGUGGAGCCAGAAAAUAUUCCCACAUUUAUGAGGAAGCACAAAGCACACUCAAAAAGAUGACAUGGUUCAAAAUAAGCACAAGAGUGAGGGCCUCAGGACCCAUGUACCUUGAAGGUACUUACAAACACAGACGCCCAUGUUAGGUUUGUUUCAGGUUUUGAAAGUGUUUGUCACUUGGUUGUUUACUUAUUUCGGAAAUAGAGUGACAAGAGAAAUAAAAUUGCAUAGAUAAUCAACACUGAAAGGCAAGUCAGCCUUUCAGCCAACUUAGAGUAGUGCUAUCGUUUGUCUAUUUUUAUGAUUAAAAACUUGGUGCUGACAAUUUUUCAAGAGACAAGAUUAAAUUCUGUAGUGAAAUUCUUCAAGCUUUGGCUCUAGCCAGGGGUGAACUUGAUUUGGGAAAAUCUGAGAAAAUAAGCUCCAUUAAUUCAGAGGUGUAGAAAGAAAGGAUCUUGAAAUACCCCUCACUUCUCCAGGCACAUUAUUGAACGUAGCACAUUCCUCACAGCAGCUGUUCCAAAUCUUUUCACUUUCCCCAAACCCUCCUAAGUUGUGUGGAGAAGACAGACCCUGGGUGACCCUCAUCAUCCAGGUUCCCCCUCAGCUCCCGACACCCCCAGCUUUCCUCCCACUCAAUUCUAAGUUGUUUUAAGAUAGUCAAUCAACUUUCUUGGCUUUAGAUUCCCCUUCUGCUAACAUAAAGCAGAGUGCCUUAUUCAUGGGAAUAGUUCACUAAUUAAGACUUUAAAAUGAGUGAUUGAGCAAAAUCAACCUCACAGGGAUUCCAGAUUUUAUCUGCGGUCAGACUGACUAGAGCCAGUUGGCUUGGCUAAUGAACUGAGAAGGAGCAUGGCAGAGUGCCCCCUACAGCCCUGACUUUGAACCUGGCUCUACCAUUCAUUAACUGGGGGGGUGAUCUUGAAUAAACUGCUUAAUCUCUCUCGUCCUCCCUCCUCAUUCCUCAGAUGCUUUAUCUCUAAAAAUGAGGAUAAUAAAAAUUUUUGUCUCACGGAACACUUGGGAGGAUUAAAUAAAAGCAGAGACUUGGCACAGAAUGUGCCACUUAAUAAGUGCUCAAAGUAGCCAUAACACAUAUAUUUAUUGCCAUAAAUAAUCAGUUUGUAAACUGUCUUUGUAAUCUCUGUGUCAUAUGCAGCUGAAUCUCAGUUAAAAAAAAAAGGGAAAGUAAGGGUUGGGGAUAUAGUUAAGUGCCUUAAUUAAUGUGUAUAAGGUCAUGUGUUGGAUCCCCAGCAUUGCAAAAAAAAAAAGCAAAAAUACAAUAAGAAAAGAAAGAUGUUGAUGGUGAUGUGGUGGAAAUUGUCUGUCUCUGGUGUUAGGAAAUUUCCCCCUUCCCAUCUCACUGAGCUCCAGGAGACUAUGGUCUCUUUUUUUUUUUUUUUGUUUGUGCUGGGUACUGGGGAUUGAAUUCAGGGGCACUGGACUACUGAGCCACAUCCCCAGCCCUAUUUGUAUUUUAUUUAGAGACAGGGUCUCACUGAGUUGCUUAGUGCCUUGCUAAGUUGCUGAGGCUGGCUUUGAACUUGCAAUCCUCCUAUCGCAGCCUCCAGAGCUGCUGGGAUUACAGGUGUGUGCCACUGUGCCCGGGUCUCCUUUAAGCUCAUGCCUGCCAUGGGACUGGAUGCAUUUAAUGUCUGUGCAGCUGAGUUGCUUGAACCCUCCUCAUGCCCCUUCUCAUUGAAUAAACUCCUGACAAGCUGUUUUCUUCUGUACCUGUCUGAUCACGUCUUAGAAAUCACUUUUAUUUUGCAAACAAUAAAGCUUUCCCUUUGGCAUUCUUGUCAGAAUAUAAUCACAAAGAUUUUAAGGCAGAAUAAUUAAUAUGUAUUCAUUAUUCAUUAGUCUAUGCAGUAAAUGCAUAGAUAAUACACUAUUAUUAGAUGUGUAUUGUUUUCUUAAAGAGUACCAUGUUGUUUGUUUCCCCUUCUUAAUCCUUUAAACACCAGUCAACUCACCUGAGUUUAAUUUUCUAAAAUUAUGUCUGGCUGUGGCGACAUCUACUGGUAAAAUUGAGCUCUCAAGCAAGGGAAUUGUCGGCAUCUAGCCUCAAAGUUAUUUUGACCAUUCUCUUUUUCCCUAUAUGUAGUCUAGGCAGAGGUCCAACUCAACAUUGUUUGAUGAUGAGAAUUACUAAACCACUUCAUUAAAAAGUCUUUCCUGUUAAUGAUUUCUGAAUCUAAAAAUUUUUGUUUGAAAUACUACUACAAUCUUUGCUGGAAAGGAAAAAAAUAAACAGACCAAGGGCUGGGGCAGCCUUUAGAAAGGACCAUUUGUGAAAUAAUGCACAGAAUCUUGAAAAGCUAUUGCAUUAAAAUAACUUUUUUUUUUUUCAGAGCUGGGGAUGGAACCCUGGGUUGUCUCCUUAGCUGGUUUCUUUGCUGUUUUCUAAACCAAUCAUUGGUAAAAAGGAUUGGGAUUAGCAUGAUCAGUUUAUAGUCUAAUUAAAAUUCACCCCAAACAUGGUCCUUUCCCUAAGGUUGGGUUGGAGUUACCUUCCCAGAACACAUGGCCUGAGAACAAAAUUGGGGCUAUUCAAGUAAAGCAGAGGGGAGGAGGAUGGGUUUGCAAAAGCCUCCAAUAGUGUCUAUAACCAAGGGAAGGAAGGAAGGGAAUGGGAGGGGAGGAGUGAAAGGAAGGGAAAGGGAGGGGAGAGGAAAGGAGGGGAGGGGAGGGCAGAGAAGGGCAGGGUCAUUGGAAAAGAAAUUUGAAAAAGAAAUAUCUGGAAAAGGGAAGGUACUGGAGAAUGAGAUUGAUCAAGUUAUGUUGUAUGUACAUAUGAAUAUGGCAUAAUGUAUCCCAGUGGUAUGUAUAAUUAUAAUGCACUAAUUAAAAAUAAUAAAAAAUAUCUGAAGCAACUGAAAAAGAAGGGAAACUCCAGGCAGUUAGCUGACUUCAGGGUUUUGAAGGCCAAAUUCCCCAGAAAUGAGUGAGUCCAACUGAAUAUUAUCAACUUUUUAUUUUCUCCAUUAGAGGCUUUUUAAAAAAUCAACAACACUUAUAGUUAAUUUCUUGGCAGGGAGUUAUUUUGUUUUGUUUUUCGCAGUACUGGGCAUUGAAUAUAGAGGCACUUUACAACCGUACCACAUCCCAGUUCUUUUUAUUUUUUAUUUUGAGACAGGGCCUCUCUUAAGUUACCCAGGCUGGCCUUGAAUUUGCAAUCCUCCUUACUCAGCCUCUUAAGUAGCUGCUGGGAUAGCAGGCAUGUCACCACACCACACUAGCAAGAUUUUUUAAUAAAAAAAAUGUUCCUGCUGACUUCAUACAGAUUUUUUCUUUUCUUUCCUUCUUUUUUUUCCUAUCCAUAUUAUUUGAAAAAAAUAAUAAAAUCUGUAUAAGGUAAGUAUGUUAAUAAUAGCCUUGUGUUGAUGUUAAUUUCCUGGUUUUGCAAAUGUUACUGUGGUUAUUUGGGGGAAUAUUGUUUUAAAGGAAAUAUAUACUGCAGAAUUUUAGGGGUGUGAUAAUUAAUUUUAUGUGUCAAUGUGGCUAGGCUGUAACAACCAAUUGUUUGGUCAAACACUAAUUUACAUGUUCUUGAGAAGAUAUUUUUUAGAUGUGAUUGACAUUUAACUAAGUAGACUUUGAGAAAAGCAGAUUACCUUCCAUAAUUUGGAUGGGCCUCAUCCAAUCCAUUGAAUGCUUUGAGAACAAAGACUGAGGUUUCCCAAACAAGGAGGAAUUCUUAAAACUGACAUAGAAACUCUCCCUGCCCUGUGGAAUUCAGACCCCACUGCCACAUGAACUUGUACUUGAACUUCCAGCCUGCCCCACCCUGUUGUGUGAAUGUCAUAGAGUGGACUGACACAAGCCUGGAUAGUACAGCCUCAUAGGCACCUGUAGACUACAAACCUGUAUAUGUUACCAUACUGAGUACUACAGGAAAUCGUAACAGUGUUAUUCUAAACAGGGUUGUUUAUGCCAGCAAAAACCACAAACACAUGAAUAAUGCUUUGUGGUGUGAUGCCGCAGCUACGACCUCUGACAUCACUAGGCAACAGGAAUUUUUCAGCUCCAUUAGAAUCUUAAGGAACCACCCUGGUAUGUGUGUUCAGUCACUGACUGAAACAUGGUUAUUCUAUAGUGCAUGACUGUAGGUUUUGUUUCGCUGGAAAAUCCUGACUAACACAAGGAGUAAAGGUCAUCACGUUUUCAACUUACUCUCAAUGUUAACUUUUGGGGAAUCUGGGUGAAAGGUAAUGGGAACUCUUUGUACAACGCUUGCAAUGUUUUCUUUAAUUUUGAAAUCACAUCAAAAUAAAAAGUUAGAACGCAAGCAAAGUUUAUUCAAAAGUGAAUUUGACACACAGCUUUCCUGUCAUCCACAUGCAUAUAUACUUGGCUAAGUUUCCAAGGUAGCCAACAAAGUCCCAUUUAAUACAUAGUGUAGCUGAAAUACCGUGCCCUCCCAAGAGGAUUCAAGAGGAAGAACACGACUCUGUUUUAAUAGUGAUUCAAUCAAUUAAAUAAAAUUGAAUAGUCGAUUUUAAUUCUUUUCCUUGGAUGGAAAAAUGAUUGUACAGUUUUUAAUAUUCAACCACUAAUGUGAAAGAGUGGAGAAAACAACAGUUGGUGGGGUGAAGAAAGGAUGAAAAGCAUUAAAAAAGAAGAAAUAAGUGCUCAGGUGUACCUAGAGAGGAAGGAGGAGAGUUUGAGGAAGAAUUUGUUUGAUUUGAUUUAUUCAGAAGAAAUGUGAGGAGAUUUAUAUCCUGAGUGGAUGGAGCUGGGGUUAUAUCAGACAGAAACAAACUUGUCAUAUAUGAGUAAGGAAGGGCAUUUUAUUUUAUUUGUUACUAACACUUUUAAAAAGAAUACAACUAGAAGACCAAUAUAAAGUUGUUAAUUUUUACAUUUGCCAAGUGAAGCUUAAAAAAAUAGCACAUAGCCACUUAGCCACCCAAGCACUGACUACUCACAAUUACCGUCAUGUCAGAAAGAGUUAAACUAAAAAAUAGACACGGCAUAAUGUGAACAGAGUAAAUUGAUCAAAAUGUACUAAUUUCACCACAGAUUGUUUAUAUGACUCUGGAUUUGGGAGUGGGUCCUAGUUAAGCACAUAAAACAGUUAUGUGUCCCCCUGGCAGGCUGUGUGGAGCCCGGGGGGGGGGGGGUUGUCAAACACAAAGUUUGGAUGGAUGCCCAUCACCAGCUCCUCCGUUGUGGCCCUGGUUCUUCCUCAGACUCGUUUCCCUUUGUUCUCAGCAUUAAUCCAGGUGUGUCCUGAUCUGGCUGCAGGCUUCUGGUUUUUCCUCUCCUGAGGAAGUUUAUAGGUGGGACCUAUGGCAUCCACCUCCACUUGCACUUGUUUUAUUGAAAUUGCAUGUGUAUUUGCCGAGUUUAUGUUUUUUUUUUCCCUCUGUCUUUUGUUAAUUUUCAAACCCACUUAUCUCUUUCUGGUUCGUGUAGUUUCUUUUUUUAAAAAACAACAUUUAUUUUUUAGUUGUGGAUGGACACAAUACCUUUAUUUUCUUUUUAUGUGGUGCUGAGGAUCAAACCCAGUGCCUCAUGCAUGCUAGGCAAGCGCUCUACCUCUGAGCCACAACCCCAGUCCCUUUCCUCUGCUUUGGUCUCAUCUAUAACUCACUAUUGGUCCUCAAGGAUUUGUUUGGGUUGGAGAAUUUCAUCCGCACCUGUUUCUGCUUCUCUGAUUCAAUAUUAGGUGCCUCCUGCUUCACAGGAUGGUCGGUCUAGGUGCAGACUUCCUGGUGGGAAUAGAGCCACUUCCCUGAACUUCAUUUAGGCCCUUCUCUGAUCUGUGAUCUUUGGGGUGAAGUCCAAGGCAAUUCAUCUCCUUAUAUCUAUAAAAAAAAUACUAAAAAGAGCUGUGGGUCAAGCAGAACUGUGUGUGGUCCACCCUGGCCUGUUCUUUACUAGCUAUGUGACUUCACACAAAUCUCAAAAACUCUACUAAGCCUUAUCUUUCUCAUUUGUAACACAGGGAAGAUAAAAACCUUAAAAGGUUUCCCCAAGGAUAAAAUGAAAAGCUGUAUAAGGAACUUUGACAAUGUGCUGUCAUGUGGCAGGCUCAAAGAUGGUGCUGUUAUUGUAACUCUCAUUUCUUCUCUGCAUUUUCUAGAUUUGUGCUUCCAAACAUGGUAACUGCUACAUGUGGCCAUCAAGCAUUGGAAAUGUGGUUGGUCUCAAUUGAGACAAGCAGUCAACAUGACAUAUAGUCCAGACUUUGGAGGAUUAGUGUGACAAACAGGAUGUACAAUAUCUCACCACUAAUUUUUAUAUUGAUAACAUGUUAAAAUGGAUAACAUUGUGGACAUAUUGG
rnacentral:lncRNA from 1 species